rnacentral:rRNA from 1 species
UACGUAGGGUGCGAGCGUUGUCCGGAAUUAUUGGGCGUAAAGAGCUUGUAGGCGGUUUGUCGCGUCUGCUGUGAAAAUCCGGGGCUCAACCCCGGACUUGCAGUGGGUACGGGCAGACUAGAGUGUGGUAGGGGAGACUGGAAUUCCUGGUGUAGCGGUGAAAUGCGCAGAUAUCGGGAGGAACACCGGUGGCGAAGGCGGUUCUCUGGGCCUGUACUGACGCUGAGGAGCGAAAGCGUGGGGAGCGAACAGG